rnacentral:lncRNA from 1 species
CCUCUUUCCUCUUACCCUCGUUUCUCACCUUUCACCCUGUCCCUCGGCCCGCUUUUCCCCUCCCCGCUCUGUCCUGUCGUUUUCUUAACACUCUUCACACGCGCACUUCCUCCUCCUCCUCUUCUCUUUUUCCCACCCCUACCUUUGGGCCCUCCUUCCUUAACCUCCGCUGGCCCCCCAUUCCAUGAUCCGUCCACCUGACACGCUGGGUUUCAUGCCUCUCUUUCCCAGGCUGUGGGUUGUGCCCUUCACUCCUUGCCCUCCUCCAUUCCCUGUCCUGAUCUGAACUCCUCUCCUUGCCACGCUCCCUCACCCUUAUCCCUCUGCACACUCCAAAAUUUUUAAAGAAAAAGGAGAGAGAGAAAAAAAAGUAAAAGAAAAGAAACCCAAAAGGGAAAAUAUAGCUAAGGUGAACUGCAAAACCAUAUUCCUGCUGCUGUCAGUUAUGAUGCACUGAGAAAACUUCAGAGACCUAAACUUUUUCCAGAGAAGAGAAGCUUUACUGGUGUUCCAGCCCUAAGAAACCUUUGUUCAAGAAAACGGCAGAUGCUCUGUUGAAUCCACUGGAGAUUGUUCUGAUACUAAGGACAAGUAUCAACCAUCUUUCCUGUGAAAAAUUCCCUCUCGUACUUUAGUUCUGUGGAUCCAAAAUUUAUAGCAUUCUUCUACCACCACAGGGGCUCAUAUGACAUUAACAGACAAGACACUUUUCAGAAAGACAGGCAACGUGUUGGACCUUCCGGAGCUUCUCAGAAGACAGAGGGUUUUCUUUUGAGGAUUUAAACCUCAGACACAGGGAGCUGACCUAUUCACCUUAGAAUCCUCUGGGGCACCCAUUACAGUGUCUGUACCAAGGAGGCAACAAAGAACGGCGGAACAGACUGGAGCAGAAGGACCACCCAGCAGAGCCAAGCCAAAUCACUGACCCUCAGAGGCCUGAUGUGAAUGCUUAUGGCUUCAGUCCAUUGGAUUCUGCAGUAAUCUGCCGAUCUACAGUAUUACCACAGUAAAUAACCGAUAGACCUGAAAACGAAUGCAUGCCUUGUGCCAAAAUUGCAGGAAACCUCACCAGGAGAAACAAUUUUAUAUGAGGGAAUGUACUCUCUCCUUUGCAUUUUCCCUCAAAUCUAUAUUUUUAGCCCCUCACUUGUCUCUACAGAGCCUCAGUUGCUUAAUCUAAUUGCUGACUGAACAUCUCCAGGAAACUGUGUGUACGUGUUUGUAUUCAUAGUAUAUUUAUUUAUUAUCUGUUUACUUCCAUGGGAUAUAGUCUCCAUAAGAGAGUAGUCAUCAUUGUAUUUGUUGAUGCUUAAUAAAUAAUCAUUGAAUGGGCCGGGUGUGGUGGCUCAUGCCUGUAAUCCCAGCACUUUUGGAGGCCGAGGUGGGCAGAUCAC